rnacentral:tRNA from 2 species
GUUAAGAUGGCAGAGCCUGGUAAUUGCGUAAGACUUAAGACUUUAUAACCAGAGGUUCAACUCCUCUUCUUAACA